rnacentral:rRNA from 1 species
GACGAACGCUGGCGGCGUGCUUAAUACAUGCAAGUCGAACGGAAAGGUCCUGCUUUUGUGGGGUGCUCGAGUGGCGAACGGGUGAGUAACACGUGAGUAACCUGCCCUUGACUUUGGGAUAACUUCAGGAAACUGGGGCUAAUACCGGAUAGGAGCUCCUGCUGCAUGGUGGGGGUUGGAAAGUUUCGGCGGUUGGGGAUGGACUCGCGGCUUAUCAGCUUGUUGGUGGGGUAGUGGCUUACCAAGGCUUUGACGGGUAGCCGGCCUGAGAGGGUGACCGGCCACAUUGGGACUGAGAUACGGCCCAGACUCCUACGGGAGGCAGCAGUGGGGAAUAUUGCACAAUGGGCGGAAGCCUGAUGCAGCAACGCCGCGUGCGGGAUGACGGCCUUCGAGUUGUAAACCGCUUUCGCCUGUGACGAAGCGUGAGUGACGGUAAUGGGUAAAGAAGCACCGGCUAACUACGUG